UAGCCAUAUCACACUGAAACACUAGUUCUCUUCUGAUCACCAAAGUUAAGCAACUUAAAGUCUGGUCAGUACCUAGAUGGGUGACCGUUUGGGGAUGCUGGUUACUGUAA